rnacentral:rRNA from 1 species
UGCCAGCAGCCGCGGUAAUACGGAGGGUGCGAGCGUUAAUCGGAAUUACUGGGCGUAAAGCGCGCGUAGGCGGUUUGAUAAGCUAGCUGUGAAAGCCCCGGGCUCAACCUGGGAAUUGCCGUUAGAACUGUCCGACUAGAGUACAGUAGAGGGUGGCGGAAUUUCCUGUGUAGCGGUGAAAUGCGUAGAUAUAGGAAGGAACAUCAGUGGCGAAGGCGGCCACCUGGACUGAUACUGACGCUGAGGUGCGAAAGCGUGGGGAGCAAACAGGAUUAGAUA